rnacentral:rRNA from 1 species
GAUGAACGCUAGCGGCAGGCCUAACACAUGCAAGUCGAGGGGUAGAGUUAGCUUGCUAACUUGAGACCGGCGCACGGGUGCGUAACGCGUAUGCAAUCUGCCUUGUACUGAGGGAUAGCCCAGAGAAAUUUGGAUUAAUACCUCAUAGCAUUAUGAAAUCGCAUGGUUUUAUAAUUAAAGUUCCGACGGUACAAGAUGAGCAUGCGUCCCAUUAGUUAGUUGGUAAGGUAACGGCUUACCAAGACAAUGAUGGGUAGGGGUCCUGAGAGGGAGAUCCCCCACACUGGUACUGAGACACGGACCAGACGCCUACGGGAGGCAGCAGUGAGGAAUAUUGGUCAAUGGGCGCAAGCCUGAACCAGCCAUGCCGCGUGCAGGAUGACGGUCCUAUGGAUUGUAAACUGCUUUUGUACGGGAAGAAACACUCCUACGUGUAGGAACUUGACGGUACCGUAAGAAUAAGGAUCGGCUAACUCCGUGCCAGCCGCCGCCGUAACAC